rnacentral:misc_RNA from 1 species
GAUGAAGAACGCAGUGAAAUGCGAUAAGUAAUGUGAAUUGCAGAAUUCAGUGAAUCAUCGAAUCUUUGAACGCGCAUUGCGCCCCUUGGUAUUCCGAGGGGCAUGCCUGUUCGAGCGUCAUUAUAACCCCUCAAGCUCAGCUUGGUGUUGGGGCCUGCUGCACUGGCAGCCCUUAAAAUCAGUGGCGGCGCCAUCUGGCUCUAAGCGUAGUAAUUCUUCUCGCUAUGGAGUCCUGGUGGAUGCUUGCCAUCAACCCCCAAUUUUUCUAUGGUUGACCUCGGAUCAGGUAGGGAUACCCGCUGAACUUAAGCAUAUCAAUAAGCGGAGGA